GCAGUUGUGGCUCAGUGAUAGAGCAUCUGCUUGGGAUGUGGAAUAUCCCAGGUUCGAUCCUCGGCAUCUUCA
rnacentral:tRNA from 1 species